ACGAACCGUGCGAACGUUAUUCGGAAUCACUGGGCUUAAAGCGCGUGUAGGCGGAUGGGUGCGUCGGCAUCUGAAAGCCCCCGGCUCAACCGGGGAAGUGGGGCCGAAACGACCCGUCUGGAGGGACGUAGGGGGAUCUGGAACUUCCGGUGGAGCGGUGAAAUGCGUUGAGAUCGGAAGGAACGCCCGUGGCGAAAGCGAGAUCCUGGACGUUUUCUGACGCUGAGACGCGAAAGCUAGGGGAGCAAACGG
rnacentral:rRNA from 1 species